AUACUUACCUGCGCGGGGUCAAUCAAUAAUCAAGAAGGUGGAUGGCUCGGGAAGGCCACCUCCAUUGCACUUGGGAGGGGGGUCUACCUAGCAUCUCCCACUGAGGAGAGUGCACAUCAUUAUUUGUGGCAGCAGAGGCUCGUGUUCGUGCAACGUCCAU
rnacentral:snRNA from 9 species